rnacentral:rRNA from 1 species
UAUUAAUAUAAUAAAUUUUUUUAUUUGAAAAAAAAAAGUAUAAUAAAUAAAAUUUUACAAUAAUUUUAAGUUUAAUUAAUUAAUUAUGAAAUAAUUUUAAAAUUUAUAAUAAUAGUAAUGUAAAUGAAUUUUUUAAAAUAUAAAUAAGUAAAAUAUUAAUUUGUACCUUUUGUAUCAGGGUUGAUUAAAAAUAAUUUAAAAAUUUAAUUAUCUCGAAAAUAAGAGAGCUAAAUUUAUAUUAUUUUUUUUGUAGAAAUAAAAUUAUAAAUAUAAAUUUAGAAAUUAAAUGUUAAACGAACUUAUUAAUAUCUAGUUUUUUUAGAAAUAAAUUUAAUUUAGAUAUAAAAUUUUUAAUAAAUUAAAUUUUAUUUUAAUUUAUUAAAUUUUAUAUUAAAAAUUUAUGGGAUAAACUAUAAAUUUAUUAAUAAAAAUUUAUAAUUUAUAAUUUUAAUAUUAUGGAUAUAAUAUUUUUUUUUAAUUUAAAAAAUUUAAUAAUUUAAUUUUUAAUUAAAAAGAUUUAAAUUUAAAUUUUAUUUUUUUUAUAAAAAUAUAUAUUAAAAUUUUAAAAAUAUAGAAAUAAUGAUUAAAUUAGUAAUAAAAAUUAUUUUAAAAUAUAAUAAUAAUAGUAUAUAAUUUAAAGGAACUCGGCAAAUAUAUUAUUCACCUGUUUAACAAAAACAUGUCUUAUUGAAUAUAAUUUUAAGUCGAUCUGCUCCAUGAAUUAAUUUUAAAUAGCUGCAGUAUUUUGACUGUACAAAGGUAGCAUAAUAAAUUGUCUUUUAAUUGAAGAAUUGAAUGAACGAAUUGAUGAAAUAAUUACUGUCUCUAAAUUAUAAAAUGAACUUAAAUUUUUAGUUAAAAUUCUAAAAUUUAAUUAUGGGACGAUAAGACCCUAUAGAAUUUUAUUUAAAUUAUUAUUUAAUUUAAAUUUUAUUUUUAAAUAAAAUAAUAAAUUUAAAUUUGAUUGGGAGGAUUAAUAAAUUUAAUAAACUUUAUUUUUAAAUAUAAUUUUGAUUAAAAGAUUUAAUAUUGAUCUAUAAUUUAUAAUUAAAAGAAUAAAUUACCUUAGGGAUAACAGCGUAAUAUCUUUUGAUAGACCUUAUUGAUAAAGAUGAUUGCGACCUCGAUGUUGAAUUAAGAUAAAAAUUAAAUGCAGGAGUUUAAUUAUUUAAGUCUGUUCGACUUUUAAAAUCUUACAUGAUUUGAGUUCAAAUCGACGUAAGUCAGAUUGGUUUCUAUCUAUAAUAAAAAAUAAAUUAAUUGUACGAAAGGACCUUAAUUUUUAAAUAAUUUAUAUAAUUUUAAAGUAAUAAUAAAUAAUUGA